UCUCCGUAGGUGAACCUGCGGAGGGAUCAUUACAGAGUUCAUGCCCUACCGGGUAGAUCUCCCACCCUAUGUUAUUAUUACUUUGUUGCUUUGGCGGGCCGUUAGGCUCCGGCCCGACUACCGGCCCCGGCUGGUAAGCGCCCGCCAGAGGACCCAAAACCCUGAAUAUUAGUGUCGUCUGAGUACUAUAUAAUAGUUAAAACUUUCAACAACGGAUCUCUUGGUUCUGGCAUCGAUGAAGUACGCAGC
rnacentral:misc_RNA from 1 species